GAUUUAUAUGUUUUUACGAAAACAUGGCGUUGAAGUAUCACGGCACAUGUAGAUUGAUAUUACGAAUAAAAUUCAAGAUUCAUUAAGUGAAUAAGAUUUACAUGCGAUAUACGGCUUGUCUGUAUACAACUAUUUAGUGAAAUUUGUGAAUUUCUGCAAAAAGGUAAAAGCAAUCCAUAUAAUAAUAUGUAUGUAUUAAAUGUUGUGUCAAUGUUGGUCUGUAUCUUAUUAUAACAGGGUGCUGUUACAGCAGUUGUACCAAGUACAAUCAAAGGAAAUUGAAAAAAAAAUGAACUUGCCAAGGUAGAAAUGAAUCCAAUAUAUAUUAAAA